GCCGCCCCUCGCGCCCUGGUGGCUAGGGGCGCACAUGGGGCCUGGCCAGGUGGGCGACGGCGCGAAUCCGUAGGGUCGUGUCCCCCCAGUCCAGUCCCUGGUACUAAGCCCGGAGCUGCCGGAGGUCAUGCAGCCUUUCCGCGCCCAGGUGAAACCGCCUUUGCAAAAUGAUGACUGAAACAGUGAAAGAGAUCUAACUCAGCCGACUCUAUCUUGCUUCUAACCUCCAAGCUGUCCUUAUUCAUCCCUGCUGGAGCUGACUCAGCGCAAGAAGACAGCUGACUCCCUGUGAUUUCCUCCCUGACCAAUCGGCUCUCCUGGCUCACUGGCUCUCCCCACCCGCCAAGUUAUCCUUAAAAACUCUGCUCCCCGGCACUCCAGCAGCCUGGGCGACAAGAUCAAGACUCUCUCAAAAAAAAAAAAAAAAAAAACCUCUGCUCCGCAAAUGCUCAAAGAGAUCGAUUUGAGUAAUAAUAAAACAUAAAACUCCGGUCUCCCGCACAGCCAGCUCUGUGUGAAUUACUCUUUCUCUAUUGCAAUUCCCCUGUCUUAAUGAAUCGGCUUUGUCUAGGCAGCAGGCAAGGUGAACCCCUUGGGCGGUUACACAGCGCUCUGAGACCUCGCAGGAAGAGUCGCCUCCGGCCUUUGUUAGACAUUGGGGCAGACAGUGCGGUGCGCUUCAGGGUUCAUCCACCCCACACAGCCUACAAGUCUCCCGAGGUCUCCGGCGUUUCCUUCUCCAGAUGCUUCUUUUGGGGGCCCUGGUUGAGAGGGUGGUGCAGGAGGAGCCUUAGUC
rnacentral:lncRNA from 10 species